GAACAUUGCCCUGACCUAGAAUUGCUACUUAGAAUUCGGACUAAACCAACACGCUGGGACGGGCGGGGGAAACAGUAGGAAAUCUUGGCUAUAAUGUAGUAGGACGGACCGCUGGAAGCUCAGGCGAAGGGGGCGACACAUUGCUCUUUAAUAUCGUUGGACGAAUAAUGUUGCUAUUUGAUUACUACAAUCAGGCUAUAGAACGUAGCCUACUACACGAAGCAGGCCCGAGGAAUCAUUCCAGGUUUUGGGGUCACACACGCUUCUCUUCCUGGUGCAGUGAUGGCCACAUCAUGACCCUGAUGGACAUGAGUGCCCAAGGGCUGUGAGAGCCCCUUGGGGAAACUUCAGGCACAAACACACUCUCUUCCUCAUACAGAAGCACUCUCUCACUCACACACACACACACUUAUUAAAACAAAAACACACACAGAGCAUGUUGGAGGUCCAGGAGGAGAGGCCUGCCGCGGCAGGAGGGACGGCAGCGACACAUUUCAGCAAGAAAGAGCGAGGAAAGAAAGAACGAGAGGAGGCCAAGGACGGCCGGGGGAAUCUUGGGAAUAUCGGGAACAGUGCUCUGGGUUCGGGUGGCCGAGGGAACGGCAGGGGGAAAGCCCCUCACACACACACAGGCAGCCCCCACCAGCUCAUCACCCCACCCUGCUCUGUGGUGCUGGGAGCCCCCUCCAUUCAUCACAACAGACUGAAGAACUCCCCAUCCAACACACAGAGGUGAGGGAGAGCAAGUGUACUGUGUGUGUGU